UUGGAGGGCAAGUCUGGUGCCAGCAGCCGCGGUAAUUCCAGCUCCAAUAGCGUAUAUUAAAGUUGUUGCAGUUAAAAAGCUCGUAGUUGAAUUUCGGGAUCAGUACGCCGGUCGUGCCUUCGGUACGUACUGGUGUCACUGAUUCCUCCCUUCUGACGAACCGUCAUGCCAUUCACUUGGUGUGGCGGGGAAUCAGGACUGUUACUUUGAAAAAAUUAGAGUGUUUAAAGCAGGCUCACGCUUGAAUACAUUAGCAUGGAAUAAUGAAAUAGGACGUUGAUCUUAUUUUGUUGGUUUCUAGGAUUGACGUAAUGAUUAAUAGGGAUAGUUGGGGACAUUAGUAUUCAAUUGUCAGAGGUGAAAUUCUUGGAUUUAUUGAAGACUAACUACUGCGAAAGCAUUUGCCAAGGAUGUUUUCAUUAAUCAAGAACGAAAGUUAGGGGAUCGAAGACGAUCAGAUACCGUCGUAGUCUUAACCAUAAACUAUGCCGACUAGGGAUCGGAUGAUGUUAAUUUUUUAAUGACUCAUUCGGCGCCUUACGGGAAAC
rnacentral:rRNA from 1 species